GACGAACGCUGGCGGCGUGCUUAACACAUGCAAGUCGAACGGAAAGGCCCUGCUUUUGUGGGGUGCUCGAGUGGCGAACGGGUGAGUAACACGUGAGUAACCUGCCCUUGACUUUUGGAUAACUUCAGGAAACUGGGGCUAAUACCGGAUAGGCGCUCCUGCUGCAUGGUGGGGGUUGGAAAGUUUCGGCGGUUGGGGAUGGACUCGCGGCUUAUCAGCUUGUUGGUGGGGUAGUGGCUUACCAAGGCUUUGACGGGUAGCCGGCCUGAGAGGGUGACCGGCCACAUUGGGACUGAGAUACGGCCCAGACUCCUACGGGAGGCAGCAGUGGGGAAGAUUGCACAAUGGGCGGAAGCCUGAUGCAGCAACGCCGCGUGCGGGAUGACGGCCUUCUGGUUGUAAACCGCUUUCGCCUGUGACGAAGCGUGAGUGACGGUAAUGGGUAAAGAAGCACCGGCUAACUACGUG
rnacentral:rRNA from 1 species